ACUCGCGAUGCUGUUCGUUGAAUCGGUGGCCCCAGAAGGAGGGCUCCUGUCUCUGUCAGGCAGCGCUCACUGAUUCUCCGGCUCUCAUUUCUUUUUCCGUUUCCUCCCAGGCUGCUCCAGACUUAAUUUCUAAGCAGACCAAAGACGCUUCUUCCAACACAGAGCAAAGCUGGUGUCUAUGACUGAGGAGGCCUAUUCCUGGGAAUUGAGGCUACCCCAGAGAGUCCCUGUGAGCCCAGGCCAGCUCCCUCGCUGUAUUCUGAUCAGGAACAUGAAGAUAAAGAUAGCAGAUCUCUCACAUGUGCAUGGUCAGAAUUCAACAGGAUGAUGCUGGGCAAAAGGCCCGGUAGAGGUCCAGGCACUUAGUAGGUGCUCAAUAAGCGUCAGUUGUUAAGUAUGAGUCCUUCAGGACAACCACGGCUUUAUACCCGGACUAGCACAGGAGCCCAGAGCAGCGGCGCCUCAUCCUGCCAGCGGGGAAGAGAUUGGGAAAGGCUUUCCGGAAGAGGGGAGACCUGAACUGAGUCUUCAAAGACAAGUAGGUAUGAACCAAAGGGGUAGGGGAAGCCAGGUAGGGGAGACAAGAGAAAAGGCAUGCAGGUGAGGUGCACAGGAGCAUUAAAUGCGGGGGUAGACCACUGAGAGGUAAGACUGCAGAGGCAUUUGGGGCCAGCCAGACAGGACUUGAUUGUUAGAAUUAGAAGGUUGGACUGAUCUCUCCCUUGGUGGAGGGGUGGAUAUCAAAAUCCCAAUUUUAUAGACCAGGAAACAGGCUCAGAGAGGGUCACUCAACCCCUGAAGGGGACAGGGAUCCUCAGUUAUUUCUUUGAGUUACAGAAGAGGAAGCCAAGGCCCAGAGAGGGCAGUGACUCACUCAAUUUGCCCAGCAAAGAGAGCGCAGAGGUGGGAUUUGAACCCUGGACUCCUGUACUCCCCCUUCCCAGAGCUCUUCCUGUGCUACCUCACCUCCCACAACAACACAUGCUGCCCUCCUGCUGGGAGCCCAGCCUCCUCUGUCCUCACUUUCCACACCCCCAGAUUCUCUGCAGAUUGGCAGAUGAUUCACAGAAAGGUUUACAGAGAUUCCAGCUUUUGUGUCCCAGGAUAAUGAGAGUAAAUCCACACAGAACAAGGUGUAAUCAGUAGCCCGCCCUGGCUCCACCACUCCCAGCCUGGAUCUCUGCCAUAUUCCAGCAGGGACAGAAAGCUCCUUCCGCCAGCACCUGUGGGGGGCUACUGUCUCUCUUCCUCCUCUUUGUGCCCACCCUGUUUCUCUGGACUGUGGAGAGAUCCCUGGGGAGAUCUGGAGACUGUCACCAAGCCUCCUUGAUCAAGGAGUUGGCAGAAACUUCUGCCCCUGAACAAUUUGAAAAUAACAAUAGCAAUAAGGCAUGUGGAACAGUCCUGUGAUGGAGAUGACAUAUAUUCUGUUCCUGCCCUGCAGAAAGUUCAGGAAUACUCCCCCGUGGUUGUCCCCUCCCCUCUCAGUGUCUCAGCCACAAGAGCCCAGGCUCACGCUAGCAGGAGGCUGAGAUCAGAGCACCUGUGGAUUUUCCAGGUGUGUUCAUUUACCUUCUGAUUUUGUGGUGGAGGGACCCCUCAGACAGUGACAGUGAUCAGAGGGGAGUUAGGUGGGGAGAAAAAGGAAGAGCCACACAGGCAGCCGUGGGGGUAAGGAAAUAGUCCCUCUUUAGCAAAUGCUGUGGCAACAUUGAGAAAACAGCUGUGUGUGUGUGUGUGUGUGUGUGUGUGUGUACUUCUUUCCCCCUUAUUACCCAAUUAACCUGCUCAUUGUAGAACAUUUGGAAAGUAAGAGAAAAAAAUUACCAAUAACAUUGUCUCCCAGAAGCAAUCAUUUUAUAAUUUUGACAUAUUUUUAAGAAAAAAGGUUUUAAAGAAAAUAAUCACCAUCCUACCCUCAGAUUCUCUGCUGAUUGGAAGAUGAUUCAGAGAAAGGUUUGUAGAGAUUCCAGUUUUUGUGUCCCUGGAUGUUGAGAGUAAAUCCACGCAGAACAAGGUGUAAUCAAUGGCCCAGGUUCUGCCACUCCCCAGCCUGGAUCUGUGCCGUAUUCCAGCAGGGACAGAAGUCCCUUUCCUGCCAGCACCCAUGGAGGCUGCAGUCCUUCUUUUUUUAAUCCAUGUUUAAUGUUUCUGUGCUCUCUUUGGGUAUUCAUCUAUAUGCAAACACACUAUUGCCAUAGUGAACAAUUUAGUGCUCUGCUUUCUAACCUUCACAUUUCAGUGUAAACAUGAGUCUAUGUUACUGAGGAGCCUUCACAACUUUCAUUUUGUGGCUCAACAAUAUACUCAGGUUGUAUCAUCGGGCUACUUCCCAUUACAAACAACACUGCAGGCCAGGUGCAGUGGCUCAACGCCUGUAAUCCCAGCACUCCUGAGAGGCUGAGGCUGGAAGAUUGCUU